rnacentral:rRNA from 1 species
UAGGGAAUAUUAGAAAUGGACGAAAGUCUGAUCUAGCAACACCGCGUGUGCGAAGAAGGCCUUCGGGUUGUAAAGCACUUUUUGGAAGGAUUAGGAAGGAAUGUACUUCCAGAAUAAGUCUCGGCUAACUACGUGCCAGCAGCCGCGGUAACACGUAGGAGGCAAACGUUAUCCGGAUUUACUGGGCGUAAAGCGCGUGUAGGUGGUUCUGUAAGUAGGGCGUGAAAGCUCCUGGCUCAACUGGGAGAGGCCGUUCUAAACUGCAGA